CAUGAACCGGGUUCCAGAGAGUCCACCGUGACCGUGAAGGUCGUAGUGGGGUGCGUUCUCUCCUCCAGAUUGGGCGUCAGACGUUUGCUGGAUGAUCACGGUAACAGCCCCUGUGUAGCCCAUCUGAAGUUGGAUACCUGAUAGGGGAACUCACCUACUGAAGGGCCGGUGUUGUGUGAGUAGCAGCAGUGCUCGAAAGAGUGGACGAGGACAGCAAGCCUUGAGAGAGGGGCCCUCGAGCAGCGAGGCAUUCUUCCUCCCGGGUUUCAGCACCAAUGAAAGAAUGAUCAAGGCUUGCCAUCGGAGAAAAUGCCCGUUUAUUGAGGAAAGCUCUGCAUAUUUAUAGAGCCGGGGGUGGUUUGGCAGUUGGCAUAAGGUGCUUUUUUAUUGGUGGGUAAGGAUCAGGUGAGCCAGCAGGUCUAGUCUGAUUGGUGGGUAAGGAUCAGGUGAGCCAGCAGGGCUCACCUUUGGACAGCUCUUCUUGGGGGAUGGGGAAGUUAGUCUUUGGAGCCUGGGCGACUCCCAACAAAGACCACAUUGAAUUGAAUCCCCGUUACGAGCUACAAGGAGGUAUGACUAGGUGGGACAAUUAAGAGGCAAAAGGUAUGUGAAGGUUCUGCCCCCAUGAACGGAUUAGGGAUUAGAUGAGUCUGUUACAAAACCCAAGUUGCCUAUGUG
rnacentral:lncRNA from 1 species